CCCUCUAUGCUUACGGCCAGGGCUACACACGUGCUACAAUGGCGCGUACAGAGGGCUGCAAGCUAGCGAUAGUGAGCGAAUCCCAAAAAGCGCGUCGUAGUCCGGAUCGGAGUCUGCAACUCGACUCCGUGAAGUCGGAAUCGCUAGUAAUCGCAAAUCAGAAUGUUGCGGUGAAUACGUUCCCGGGCCUUGUACACACCGCCCGUCACACCAUGGGAGUGGGUUGCACCAGAAGUAGAUAGCUUAACCUUCGGGAGGGCGUUUACCACGGUGUGAUUCAUGACUGGGGUGAAGUCGUAACAAGGUAACCCUAGGGGAACCUGCGGUUGGAUUCACCUCCUAA
rnacentral:rRNA from 1 species